GGGCUGUUAGCUCAGUUGGUAGAGCAACGGACUCUUAAUCCGUGGGUCAUGGGUUCGAACCCCCUACAGCCCA
rfam:Vagococcus teuberi strain DSM 21459, complete genome.